rnacentral:rRNA from 1 species
UAUUGGAGGGCAAGUCUGGUGCCAGCAGCCGCGGUAAUUCCAGCUCCAAUAGCGUAUAUUAAAGUUGUUGCGGUUAAAACGUUCGUAGUUGAACUUGUGCUUCAUACGGGUGGUACACCUAAAAUUUGGGUUAGUACAUUACCUUAUUGUAUGUAAGCGUAUUACCGGUGGAGUUCUUAUAUAUUAUAUAAUUAUUUAUAUAAUAUAUUCCUCCUAUAUAAACCUGAUUCAAUGCUCUUUACCGAGUGUUGUUUUGGGCCGGUACAAUUACUUUGAACAAAUUAGAGUGCUUAAAGCAGGCUCUUAAUGCCUGAAUAUUCUGUGCAUGGAAUAAUGGAAUAAGACCUCUGUUCUAAUUUCAUUGGUUUUUAGAUCAAGAGGUAAUGAUUAAUAGAAGCAGUUGGGGGCAUUAGUAUUACGACGCGAGAGGUGAAAUUCUUGGACCGUCGUAAGACUAACUUAAGCGAAAGCAUUUGCCAAAGAUGUUUUCAUUAAUCAAGAACGAAAGUUAGAGGUUCGAAGGCGAUCAGAUACCGCCCUAGUUCUAACCAUAAACGAUGCCAGCCAGCAAUUGGGUGUAGCUACUUUUAUGGCUCUCUCAGUAGCUUCCCGGGAAACCAAAGCUUUUGGGCUCCGGGGGAAGUAUGGUUGCAAAGCUGAAACUUAAAGGAAUUGACGGAAGGGCA